UACGUAGGGGGCAAGCGUUGUCCGGAUUUAUUGGGCGUAAAGAGCGUGUAGGCGGCUAGGUAGGUCCGUUGUGAAAACUCGAGGCUCAACCUCGAGACGCCGGUGGAAACCAUCUAGCUAGAGUCCGGAAGAGGAGAGUGGAAUUCCUGGUGUAGCGGUGAAAUGCGCAGAUAUCAGGAAGAACACCGGUGGCGAAGGCGGCUUUCUGGACAGAUACCGACGCUGAGGCACGAAAGCUAGGGGAGCAAACAGG
rnacentral:rRNA from 1 species